rnacentral:sRNA from 1 species
AAAAGAAGCCCUGUGUGAACAGGACUUCCAAUGUAGAGCCGUUUAAGACGGUGGCAGCUUAAUAUUGGUUA